rnacentral:lncRNA from 1 species
AGCCCCUCGCCUCCCGCUCAAUUUUCUUAGCUACCGUUUGGUUCGGGGUUAAAAAAAAACUAGUUAUUUCAGAGAUAUGGUUAAGUUCAGGGUUAAUGUAAGGUUAAAGUAUUUUUGCGUUUGGUUGGAUGUUGGAGUUAGUCCAGGAUAGUGAAAAAUAGUGUUUGGUUGGAAUAGGUGGGAUAAGAAGAAUAGUGGAUUAUUAUAAAUAGAAAAUAGUAUUUGGUUUGGGUUUGGUGGAGUUAGAUGGGGUUAGCUAAUCCGGAAUAACUCAUUUGAUGUGGUGUUAGUUAAUCCCACCCAUUUUUAGGAGUGUUUGGAAAUAAUAUGGGGGUUAAGGGGUUAUUCCACCCCUUAACCCCUAACC